CAGUAGCCGCGGUAAUACGUAGGUGGCAAGCGUUGUCUGGAAUUAUUGGGCGUAAAGGGCUCGCAGGCGGUUUCUUAAGUCUGAUGUGAAAGCCCCCGGCUCAACCGGGGAGGGUCAUUGGAAACUGGGAAACUUGAGUGCAGAAGAGGAGAGUGGAAUUCCACGUGUAGCGGUGAAAUGCGUAGAGAUGUGGAGGAACACCAGUGGCGAAGGCGACUCUCUGGUCUGUAACUGACGCUGAGGAGCGAAAGCGUGGGGAGCGAACAGGAUUAGAGACCCCAGUAGUCCCUGUCUCUUAUAC
rnacentral:rRNA from 1 species